UGGGGAAUAUUGCACAAUGGGCGGAAGCCUGAUGCAGCAACGCCGCGUGCGGGAUGACGGCCUUCGGGUUGUAAACCGCUUUCGGCAGGGACGAAGCGUGAGUGACGGUACCUGCAGAAGAAGCACCGGCUAACUACGUGCCAGCAGCCGCGGUGAUACUUAGGGUGCGAGCGUUGUCCGGAUUUAUUGGGCGUAAAGAGCUUGUAGGCGGUUGGUUGCGUCGAAAGUGCAAACUCAGGGCUUAACUCUGAGCCUGCUUUCGAUACGGGCUGACUGGAGGAAGGUAGGGGAGAAUGGAAUUCCCUGUGGAGCGGUGGAAUGCGCAGAUAUCGGGAGGAACACCAGUGGCGAAGGCGGUUCUCUGGACCUUUCCUGACGCUGAGAAGCGAAAGCGUGGGGAGCAAACAGGCUUAGAUACCCUGGUAGUCCACGCUGUAAACGGUGGGUACUAGGUGUGGGGGACAUUCCACGUUCUCUGUGCCGUAGCUAACGCAUUAAGUACCCCGCCUGGGGAGUACGGCCGCAAGGCUA
rnacentral:rRNA from 1 species